rnacentral:rRNA from 1 species
AUGGAGGAGAGGCUGAAACUAAGUCGCGACAGCACGACGGAGGAAGUGGAUGCUACGCAGUACCGACGCCUUGUGGGGAGCCUUCGCUACCUCACUCACACACGGCCGGACUUGGCAUUCUCCGUCGGCUAUGUCAGUCGGUUCAUGGAGCGACCAACGUCGGAACACCAGCAGGCAGUGAAGAGGAUCGUCCGCUACAUAGCAGGGACCCUCGACCACGGCCUCCAUUACCCUAGGUGCCCUGGGGCGGCACACUUCGUCGGGUACAGCGACAGCGACCACGCCGGCGACAUCGACACCAGCAAGAGCACGAGCGGGAUCCUCCUCUUCCUCGGCAAGUGUCUCGUGAGCUGGCAAUCAGUCAAGCAGCAGGUGGUGGCCCUGUCCAGCUGUGAGGCUGAGUACAUAGCGGCCUCCACCGCCUGUACUCAGGCGCUCUGGCUUGCUCGACUGCUUGGUGAUCUCGUUCAAGACACCAGAACGGUGCAGCUCCUGGUGGACAGCAAGUCCGCCCUGGCCCUGGCAAAGAACCCCGUGUUCCACGAACGGAGCAAGCACGUCCGACUGAGGUAUCACUUCAUCCGCAGCUGUGUGGAAGAAGGGAGCAUCAAGGCGAGCUACAUCAACACCAAGGAUCAGCUCGCAGACCUGCUCACCAAGCCCCUUGGGAGGGUCAAGUUCCUCGAACUUUGCUCCAGGAUUGGGAUGAUUCAACUCUCCCACAAGACGACGUACAAGACUUAG